GGGCGGUUAGCUCAGUUGGUAGAGCAGAUGACUCUUAAUCAUCGGGUCGCAGGUUCGAAUCCUGCACCGCCCACCA
rnacentral:tRNA from 1 species